AGUUGCUUUUAUGCUAGGUGGGAGGCUCCGGUUUUAACACACCUUUGCUCUUUUAUCAGGGAGAUGUUCGCUGCAGACGACAAACACACCGAGCUCAUGGAUUCUUGUAUUUUUUGUCUAUAAAUACAGGUAUACAGACAUUUUUCUGUGUUUUAAUAAUUAUAUUUUGUUAAAAUUUGACAUCUGGUGUUGAGGGGGCUCUACUUUUAUAUCGGUUGUGUUCAGAGCUGUUAAAAUAGGCUUAAAUGCAAAAAAAAGUGUACUUGCUAUUUAAGUGUGCAUUUCAUUGUUAAAUAGCUACAAAAGAUACUGUGUUUUUGGCUUCAAAUCGUUAAGAAUAUGGUGUCAUAAUUGUUUAUUUCAUCGGCAUUUCAUGGUUACAAUUUAUUUACUUCUUUUACUGUUGUAUAUUUAUGUCAUGUAACAAAUAGGGGAGAGUGGGGUAAGUUGAGCCACCCCCCUGUUGCUUGUAAAUGGUAAAAGAAAUUGAUCCUGUGACCAAAUAUCUAGGAGAUGGGCAUCAAUUCAUUGAGUCUGUGAAAGGUUAGAAGCACAUGGGUGACAUUUAUUUCCAAAAAAACAUAUUUCACCCUUGAAAGCGAAUUUAGUCUGUCAUAAGUUUUAUUAGAAUUGUGUUCAGAUCAAAAAGAUCAUUUUAAAUUUGUUUUAUACAUCAAUUGUGGUAUCAAUGAGCUACAACAUGGUCAACUUACCCUAUAGACGGGGUUAGUUGACCAAAGGAGGACACUUUGUUCUGGCAUGCUACAUUAUCAAGACAGUUCUCUUUACACUCACUCUGUUGGUUUGUAGGGAUGAACAACAUCUUGAAAUAUAUGCAGAUACACUAGUUAGAGACAAAACUAGGAUUGACUUGAUGUAGUGAUCCGAUAUAUGCAAAGUGGCUCAUCUUACCCUACUGUCCCCUACUUAAAAAAAAAGCUGCUGCAGACUGAGCUCAUGGAUUCUUGUAUUUUUUGUCUAUGAACACAGAACGGCCAAAUUGAAGAACCAGAAGCUACGUAAUGUUUUCCUGACUGGUCAGUAUAACCCAGAACACAACACACACACGGUUUACAUAAGCAUGUUCUUUUAGUUUUCUCCCUUCCAUCUUUAAAACUGCAAAACCUUAUUCGACAACAGAGGGAACAUCACUUUGUCAUACCUCAUAAAGCCUUGUCAUUAUUUCUCCAUUAAUUCUCUAAAAGGGAUAAAAUAAAAAUAGCACCUUGUGGGCAGAAGUUACAAGCCCUGCAGCCUUUCCUUUCUGCAGUUCAGGCACUAAACGAACUAGUCAGUGAUUGUAAGUCACCCCGGAUAAGACUUGUAAAUCUCUAUCUGUUCCUGUGAAUGACAGCACUACAAUACGUGAAAGCAAGUCUUUAAAUAAGACCAAUGCAAAAUAGUGUUUUAUAUCCUAAGCUCUGGCAUUAAACCCUCUACCUGAGAGUGUAUUAUAGCUGACCCUGACGCUCCAUCGUAUCUCUUUGAAGCCAUCACAGCUCAGCAUGGUUCAGAAAUAUUACCAUAUCUAUAAAGCAAAGGGAUCCAGUAAUGACUACAAAAAGAAAUACCUUCACCUCUUUCUGCUGAGUUCAAACACAGUAGCAUGGUAACGGCUUAAAGCUACCCCUCUAAAGCACUAAUGUGUUCAAAUACCCACGGGCCCCUCAUUGCAGCAAGAUUGAAAAUACCAGCAGUGACUGCUAGCCAGGCACUUAAACAGAAAAAAGGCCCAUGGUCACCCUCUGUGACAUGUAGCAUCUUAAUGGUGCUGUUAUGAUGAGGGCUACGGGAGGAGCAUAUAUCAUUUGAGCCCCUUUUGCUCGACUCAUCAUUGCAUGAUAGAUCACCUGCAGCCCAGAGCACUGCAGUAAAGUAUGUGGUAAGAAUUGCCUACAAAAACCAGAGCUCAGGACAUUCUGCUGCUUCAUUGCUGUUUCAUGGCAUAUCACCACCCAGCAUGCACGCACAGAAGAAGACACUGACACAUCAUGCAGCAGAGAGACAUUAUAUAUUUACAUUACUGCUGACUUCAAAUGACACGACUGUGCAUCACAUCUCUCUCUCUCUCUCUCUCUCUCUCACACACACACUCCUGCAUGCCCAAGUGUGUCUGCCUACCUGGUGCAGCAUUAAAUAGAAACAAAGUGCUGACUGACCUAUUAAAAUAUUGCUUAAUGGCAUCAUUAGCAGUACAAAAAAAAAAGAAAAGAAAAUCCCACAGGGGGCUUUUUAAGGCCUUGGCUGAAACUUUCAGAUCAUUUCUUUGAUGGCUUCAGUGAAUAAUGAACUUAGAGUCAACUUUGUCUUUCAGAAUUAUAACUAGUAGGAAAAAAAAAGACCAAGUUAAGUUCCAAGUACUCUGAAUAGAAAGACAAAUAUUUUUCUGUGUGAUGUCGAGGUUUCAACAGAAGUACCUUAGAGGCUGCCAUUCAGUGUGAUUAUAUAAAUGUCAGAUCAGACUGCAUAACGACCAAAAUAUAACCAAAACUGACUCAAGUAUGAUCCAAACAGGUUGCUCAAGAUGCUCCCUUGAUCAUCCCUACUGUUGGUGAAUCGGCGGUGGCCUUUGAGGACAAGACGCUCCUGCGACACUAGGUAAGAGUGAACCUUUAUUACAAAAACUCAUCGGCUCUGUGCCUCCGUUAAAACAUAAUGAAGCAAAAUGCCAGCCGCCAGGUUCCAUGUCUGUCCAUUUAUUGUGGUGUUUUUUAAGAGGGUAUACACUUUUUCUCCAGCUGGCUUGCAUGGAAACAGUUUCUCUUUGCAGAAAGCGAUUGCUUCUGUUUCUUUCUCUUCUUCUUGUCGUCUUCUGAAAUUGUUGAAUUCAUCUCAACUUAUGAAGCCGAACUGAUCUUAAAUUAUAUUUACACAGCAUUAACUCCGCUUCCUUUUCACAUUUACUGUCGUAUCAAACUCAAACUCUUCUUUUGGUCCUCUGGUGAGUGUCCUUAUUGAGCCCUUUCUUUGUAAAGUAUGCCCAGGAUCAUGUACUGACAGCACAGGCUCAUAAAGUCAUAUGUAAUGUUGCUUUGCUAAUGGCAACACCGGGGAAUAAGAAGCCCUGAUGUUGGGAAACCGGUUUGUGCCUCUGCUUUUACUCUUGCAAGUGUGUCAGUCACGACUCAAAAACUGAGGCAGAUUCAGCUUCACUUCUCAGUUGUUUUCUGGCGUUUGACGCAUUCACUGACAUGCACUUUUGUUUUAAUGCAGUUUUUUGAUAUUUGAAUGAUACUUCCCUCUGUUAUAUUUCAAUCCUUCUGUGUAUCUUCAAUUUCUAUAAUCCAAAUGUAGUUGUAGUCUUUUAAACUCUGAACCUUUGUGUUCAGCAGUGUGCAGUUUCCAUGCGGAUGUGUAGCUCUCCUUGAUACCACCUGUUUUUGCCACCUUUGCAGUGACCCACAUGGUAGUUUAGCCCAGCUUUGGGUGGUGAUUUUUUUUUUAGAUUAAAAAUGCAAUUCCGGAAACCAAUCAACGAAGACUUUCUCUGUCUCCCCCAGCAACUACUGUGUCAGCCAACCCUGCAGAAGCAAAACAAUGCAGCGAAAAACACAGACAGCCAAGGAAGUAGUAGUUACAUCUGUCUGUGUUUUUAGAUUAUUUCCACACUAUCGUUAUUUAUAUCCCGGGCCAGAGGUUCUCACACUCCAUUAUUUCCGACAGGCUGUUCAAUUUCUGCCGGACGAGCGGCAGCAGCGAUCAGGUGGCCACAUUGUAUUGUAUUUAUGUGUGAUUGUAGGAACACGAUGCCUCAUUAGACCUUUAGUGCCCUGGCUCGCCGCGGCCCCAUCCACACACAAUAGCCCAUCUUAUUAUAUCUAUCUCUCGCCCACCUGACCACUCCACAGAGAGCUCUGGCAGCCGCAGUCAAGCUGUUGGAGAUCAUGGGCAACUGGGACCUUUUGUACAUUGUAACAUCUGCACACUGGCUGCCUGUGACAAGGUCUGGCGCUGUGAUCUCCCCCAAAACACCUAUUUUUUUUUUUUUCUGUCUCAGCUGCCUCCCUGAACUCUCUCGCUCUGCUCUUGUUUUUUUCUCCUCUCAUGUCUCCUCCUUUUUUGUCAUCUCCUUUUUUCUCUCACCACCAAAAGACUGGCUAUAUAUAACCACUGCUUCACUGACCUCCCUUGAAAUUACACAACAUUUUUCCCCAUUAUUAUUUCCCCCCCUUUCCUGACCACCUCUUAUAUAUUCCCCGCGGCUUUGCAGGCUCUUAUUUUUUUUGUCCCUUUCCUUUUCCAUCACGAUCCAUUCUCGGUCUUACCUGUCUGUUCUACCUCCUCUCAUGUCAGCUUGUCUCUCAUGUUCUCUUAAGUACUCCCUCCAUCUCUCUCACAUACACACACACACAUAUAUAAACCCCCCCCACCCCCUCGUCUGUCUCCUCUAUCACCCCACCUCCAAAGCUAAAGCUGUCUGACUUCCUACCUGCACAGUCCUUUGAGAACACAGACGUACAGUACAGUAUACCCUGCUAUGCAGUACAGAAUGGAGGAGACUGCUGUGCAAGAGCAGGAAAGGGCAAACACUGCUGCACCUAACAUUUCCAGAUAUAUUUGUAUACUGUGCAAAAUAUAGAGAAGAAAACUUGGCUGCAUUGACUGUAAAACAGUGUAAAGACAACAGAUCCAGGUCAUUUAAAGGGAUGUUUCAGAAUAGCUGAGUCAGGGGCAUGUUUGCUGUCAUGUUGCAUCACUUUUUCUUUUUUUAACAGCGCUCUGUAAACACUUUAAAACCCAGGAGACCAGUACCUGGAGUUUUGAAAGGGAUGUUUUUCUUCCACCCACUCCUAAAACAAGUGUAGGGUUUCAACAAUUCAGGGUUUUGUUGGGACAGCAGGCAAAUUAAGCACCAGGACUCUUCUACUGCAGAGCUGAAUGUGCAGAAUGUGGUUUAGCAUAACAUCUUUUAGAAAUAUGAAAACGUUGUCUGGAUGGCGUUGUCGUGUUUCGCUCCAAAACCUGCAUAUAUUGUCCAGUUCCAGUUUCCUGACUGUUGAGUGGUGACCUUGAUUGGCUGUUUUUCUUUUUUUUAGCCUUUAGAUUGAGUGUGGGCGUUUGAAGCUCUGUCACAGCCAGCAGGUUUUAAGUGUGUCUGCGGGUAACUUUAGCAGUUUAAUUUUAUAGCUCUGUCUGUUGCUAUGGAGACGUCAUUUAACGUGACAUCCGCGGCUGCUAACUAAUUUCAGCAUCUCGGCGAACGUUGUGUACGUGUGCAAACCGCUCACUGUGACAUAAAGAGAAAAGAUGAAAGUAGGUAAGGUUAACGCUGUAGGAGAAAUAUAGACAAGUGUGAUCACAGAAAUUGGCAAAAAAAAAUUACAACAAAUAAAUAAAAUGCAUGGAGGCAUUCUUAUGGGGAAGAACCUUUAUUUUUUUUGUAAAACUGAGUUUUUUUCACCCCAAAAAAUCAGAUUAGCAGACUUAGAUUUGGUUUUAUAAUAUGGGUCCAAGAGACUUGUCCUCAGGUCCAGAUAAGAUUCUCUGAAUUUCAAGCUCGUUUUGCUCAUUCACUUCAGUCUUGUCCAUUACAUAUCGAUAAAUAAUCUAAUUCUUUACCUCAGAGGAGACUUCAGACUCAGCUGUUUGGACGUGUUUCAAAUACAUCAUUCAGGUUCAACAUAAAUGGUCACACCAUUACCUCAAAGCGAGCGUCAGUCCUCUCUGCCAAGUUUAAAUACAGUUUUGCCAUUACAGGAUUAAUGUAACCAUGUCGUACCGAACACCUGCUCACACCUGCCGGGAGGAUGACAUUGACUACAUCAACCAAGGUCAAACUCAACUGUGAUUAAUGUCUGUUAAUUGGUACGAACAUCAGAGAAAGUAAAUUACAGCAAAGAGAGCAAACGCUCCAUCAUGUUUAACUGCAGUUACAGAGGCGGCAGUCACAUUUGUUAUGGCACACCUAAAACCUGCAACAUGGCAGCAUGACGGAUUAUGGAGACCCGGGGCGACAAACAAUAUGGGACUUGUGAAACCUGAUAUGUUUGUUUUGUUUGUUUUUCAUGGGGUAACAUCAAAACCCGAAUAAAGUUUAUAAUCUAUCAACAAAAACACACACAAAAAACCACAAGUGUAUAUUUUAGCAUGGAAAUGUCUCCAUAAACAUGCUUCAGAUCCAACUUUAUAAAUCAUUUAAUUCAGUUUCAACCAAUGAUGUGGUUGAAACUGAAAGAAACCAUGAUUCUAAUUACCUUUUAACAAAGUUUCCAAACUUUUUUCUUGAAUUUGGGUUGAAAUCAGUCGUAUUACUUUUAAAUUUAUGCGAGAUAUGACUGUGUAUUCCCAGUGGAGCCUCUGCUUUUGUGCCACAAGUUCAGCGGUUUAAUUAAAAGGAAUAUAGUGGGUGGGUUUGUUUGUGUGUGGUGGCGAGCCUUCCUCCUUCUUUUUAGAGGUAAUCUGGAUAAAAAUCCACAACUGAAUUAAAUUUAAGGAGCUACUCACGAUCCUGAAGUGGAAACACAUAAGGAGCUGUCAUGGUUGUGUUUGCGGCGCUGUCCAAGGUGCUGAUCCUGUCAGUACAGCUGGUGUGGCCUAAAACGGUCCUUUUUAACACUUCAGCCCAUUCAUAUCUUCAUUUAAGUGUAUAACUGACUGCUAUAGUGUUCUUGUAACCAGGAACGACCAUAUUUGGUCAACAAUGUGAAAGCAUCGUGUUGCGUGUCUAUUUUGUUUGUAGGUGUCCUCCGAUGACGCCCAUGAUGCUAAAUUUGUUUUCUACUUUUUGCUGAUGGGCUUCACUGUCUCCGCCAAAAACCUCAAACAUGGACGUCCCCAGUCAUGGACGCCAUGACUCAGGACCAUGUGUCACCUCGUUUAGAUUCAGGCUAUAAGAUGGUAAUCAUACAGUCACAUAGGUAGUGACACCGAUGUCAACAUGAGGUUGACACUGAUAUCAUUAAGUCGAUGUAAGCGUGCGAGGACAUCCUUUCCUACAUUAUCAACCAGAGCACACAGGGACAAUCCACGUCAUUAUGCUGUUGAUUCUGCGUGCACACACUCUGAGUUGCCUGUCAAGCUUCUUUCAGCACCCACCAUGAUUAAUGAGUCAUUGAGUCUUGGGGAGAGGGGGCGGGGGGACAACUCAGCUCAUGUCAACAACGCUGACUGUGUGUGCUCGCAUCACGUGCUGCUCACUAGUCGCUGCUCCUUUCUGCCUGCUCACUUCAGACGCCACAGUCCAGGAGAAAUAAAACUCUCCUGCAGUGGAUGUCCUCGCCAAUUACCAACUUGGAGGGGGUUGUUAGAAAAACACACACCACUCCCCCAGGCGAGCACCCGAAUUAAUACAAUCAAGCACAGAUAGUGUGGAGAGAAAAGUCUAUCCAUCUCACUUUCUUGUGUCUGGUAAUGGUACCCAGUGUCUUCUGGUAAUGGCCUCUCUGCCACGCAGAGAGCAGCCACAUAUUAAUGAAUGUUGCCAUUUGCAUGCGCAAGUAGCUUCUGAGGGUCUAUCAAAGCAAAUUGCUUUAUCUGGAAGGAACGUGACCCUGCCAAUGACUGGGUUUUGUAAAUAAGCCAUUAUCCAUCUAAAGCAUAAUUACGUUGUAAAUGUCAGCGGGUUGCGGGGCCUCGAUGACCCCGGUCUGGAAUUUUACAGGAGUCUAGUUCAGAAACGGAGCACAUAUUAAAUGUACACAAGCUGUAAGGAUAGAGGGGCUGCAGAGCUGCUAAAUAUGUAUGCACGGCUUCAUGUUCACGAGCAGGUGCUGCUGUGAUCAAUGCGGUUAUUAAAUCGAGAUUGGAAGGUAUAGAAAUGUGUGAGUAUCUCUGCCUUGACAGGUCUUUAUAGAAAUAUUCAUCUCAGUUAUAAAGAAGUGCGAGCUAACACGCAGCCUGAGAUCGCUCCUGCAAACAUUUUGUUCCUCUGUUAUUCUGCUGAACGUCACGAGAUGAGUCAUAAUCCUGACACACAAAGCCUGCAACUCUAACGCUAUAAAAUUACAGCUUUAAUCCUGAAAAUUUAAGACAUUUCUUUUAUAAUAAGCUUCAUUUUAUCAUUUUUUUUAUUCUUAUUUAUUCUGUUUCCAGCAGCUAACAUGCUCAUUCACCUGCAUGCACAUUUGUCAGUUCAGUUACAGCUGUAAGGAUGCCUGAAGAGCCCAAAAAUCAUGAGUUUGACUUUUUCAUUGUGGGAGCCGAACACUUGACUCGGGUAAUGUGGACCUGACUUGGACUCUCUUCCCUCUGCUCAGACUUUGAGGACUUGAGACUCAGUCCUGGGUUUAUAGUUUGGUGACGUGUCUGUUUGCACAUCGCUGCGGGGCUACAAAAACAUACUGUAGAUACUAAAUGUUGUUCUCCUGCUUUAAAUGACAUAAAACUACAUAAACUGUUGGGUUUUAUCACUCUUGCAGUUAAUUUCUAGUCUUUUGGAAACUUCCUACUUUUGCAACUUAAGCUACUUGUGCAAUCUUUAUUUUAUGACCAAAGCUCAAUAUACUUUUCUUUUAGCACCUUUGCAUCCCAGAUCUGUUAGACAUCAGGUCCAUCUGCUGAGAAGGCACGAGUUUAAUGUAUUUACCAGUAUAAUCAAAUAUUUCACACAAACCGUGUUACAGCUGACGUAAAAGUUACAGCUGCAGCUGUAUUUUUCAUGCCUUGUAAACCUUGAAGGUUGUUUCCAUCAAUCAAAGCAGGUACAACACACCUCCAGUUUUAACUUUUAGCCUUUAGGCAGAGCUUCUUUUUAACAUUUGGCUUCCCUGUGUGUGUGUGUGUGUGUCUGUGUGUGUUUGCUGUCAAUGUUGUUAGCCUGUGUGCAUGCAUAGGUCCUCUUUAAGUGUGUCUUAUGCAUGCAGGUCUUCACUCCUCACUUUGCAGGAAUCCAUAGCAACACAGCCGCCUAAACACACACAGAGGAUGGGAUCAAAUGCAUGCUGUGAAAAGCUGGAGGUGUGAGAAGGAACCUGAACUACAGAUUUUCUGUUUUUGUUUAACAAGAGAAGAAACGUCUGUGUGUGCGUUCAGACGCUCCGAGGAUUAAACAUCAUUUUUGAACAAUUCACUUUCUUCUGUUUUUGUACACCGACACAUUUUUGCAGAAAAGUCAGGAAUAACUUUGACUAAAUCACUCUGAGAUGAAAAAGCUUUGCGUUCAGUUUAAAUCAUCUCUCUGUCUUUGUUUUGUAUCCUGCCGAGGAAGGAGGAGUAGGAGGAUUGGAGGAGGAGACAAAAGCCAGGAAAGUCCAGAAUGCAACGCAAAGCCUGCUUGAAGUAGGAAGGGAAGAAAGUAACAUUAGUUUAGAUUUUGGCACUUAAAGGACAGCUCUGAACACCUCUGCACAUUUUCUCUAUAUCAGAAAUUGCAGAUCCUUGUAGAAGACUUAGCAUCACUGAGUCUGUAGCUGCAGAGAGAAUUAAGUAGAAGUAGGGCUGGGUGAUAUGGGAAAAAGUUUAUCACGAUAUAUUUUUUCAUAUCAGUUGAUAUCGAUAGAUAUCACAAUAUAAAAAAAUCACUGAUCAAUCUUAAAUGUUCCUUGUUACUCUAACUGACUUUGUGAGAACAUGUACUCGACAUAACUUGCACAUUACUCUGCUUCAUGUCCGACCUAAAAAAAAAAGCAAAAUACCUCCACCCCUCAAAAUUCUCAAGCCAGUCUUGUCGACGAUGUGGUCAUCUGUUAAGCCUUCAUUUGUAUUUCUGCGGGGGGGUAGCACUCAUUUUCUUGCUGUCGGCUUCACUUGUUAAAGUGCUAUGGUUGCAUGUAGCUGCAGCCUACUAUGAUGCAGUUGUUUGCUACUUGGUUCUAAUUUAGCAGAUGAUUGGUUCAGUGUGGACCCGGAGCAACUCCCCUUUUCAUUGGCUAUUCGUACAGUCUACCAAAACAUGGCAGAAUGACAACUAUUGAAAAGCAUUCUGCCAUGUUUCAUAUCGAUAGCAAGGGAAAUUAAUUUUUGAUAUAUCUCAUUAUCGUUUUAUCGCCCAGCCCAACGUAGAUGAUGAGUCUGUAAGCAAUGCUUAACCAGCAGAGACAUCUGAUCGUUAAGCUGCAGUGAGGACCAAAGGCUUGUGGUGCGAGCUCUGCUCUGGUUAACUGCUUUGGACAAAUACUUUGACUUUUUUUUCAACUGAUUUCUUAAGGAGCCAAUUAAUUGAAAUUGCAGUAUAGCCACAUGAUUGACAAUAUAUAUGAUAAUUUUAAUGCUGAAAAGUAGAAGAUGGGGGUGAGUGAUUUUGAAGCACAGGGACUCUGAUCAAGCUCAUAUUCGCUGAUUCUGCUCUGAAAAGGAGCUGACAGUGUACACUUUGUUCUCUGUAUCCCAAAACACAGUAAGCACUGGAUUUCAUUUAACACCACAGAGUGAUGUAAAAGACUUAAAGAAAUAUCAAAGGCUGGGAUUUCCUUUCUGAAUGUCAUAUCAAAUACUGCAAUUUAAUUUCACUUUCAAGUCGUGCAUUAAGAGCGAAUGUUAUCCCCUUCUUUAUCCAGCUUUAUCCAUUAAGACGAUUUGCAGACGUUCGCCGUGUUUCAUACAAGUUAACAGCUCAGACUGUUGCUGCACAUCCAGAUGCUCUCACAGAUCCUAUUACAAGCCUGUAGCUCCUCCACAACAAAGAAACCCUGCGUGGAUUAACCUGAGAGAAACCUGACGAAGUGCGGAGGAAGCUGCAAGCCGCAGUGUCCUCAUGUUUACAUGUGUUAGCAGGCGCGGUGGAUGAAUGAAUGAGUGAAUGAAUGAAUGACUCAUCGCAUUAUCAGGUUAGUGUCAAAGCGAGGUAGCACAGCGGGAGGAGAAGAGCCCGUCUGCAGCCAUGUCGACGGUGUGCUAAUCAGCAUGCUAUCACACAACCUGAGUGUUUAGAGGUGUCACCGCUAAUUAGAUGCUCCAAGCUUUCAGUCGUUGGUCUGUUCUGACUGCUGCCGCCGCUGCUGCUGUUGUGAUUUGUAAAUACACUUAUCGCUCGGCUAACAUUGUGAAUGUCUGUUGGUUUUGAGGUUGCAGAAAAAGGAUGUUUCUCUUUAUAUAUUGGCACUAACCCGCAUUAGUUUGUGUUUAAACAAGCGAGCAGGAACCGGAGCCUAUUUCUUCCCUCGGAUGUUGCCCUGAAUUAAAAACCGUCUCAGGAUGAGUGCCGCUCUUCACUCUGUUGGCUCUGUGAUUGGGUUGUUUUAUGGUUUAGUUGCUGGAGUCUUAAUGCGUAGAAAGAAAACGGAUCAAACAACCCUCUUUUGGGGCCGAUCUAAAAUGUUUUUUACCUGGUUUUAAAUCUCAGGAGGAGCUCAGCCUAGCUCUUCAUUUGUGUUCAUUAGGCCUGUCACGAUAACAAAUUUUGCUGGACGAUAAUUGUGCUACAAAUUAUCGCCGAUAAACGAUAUUAUUGACACCAUUUUUUAAAUUAUAGAUAAUGAUAUUAUAUGGCAUAAUAAUGCGAGUACACCAUGUCAAAAGUGAUAAACUUUAAUUUCCACACGAGAACAACACUGGUUGUUUUCGUUGACUAAAAUAUUUCCCUUUUCUCCCACGACGAAGACGUAACGUUGACGAGCUAAACAUAAGUCGGAGAUGACUAAAAUGUGACGAGACGAAAGUGCGUUUACGUUGAUGGGACGAGAUGAAAAUGACGAACAGAGUUGCAAAACUCAGUCAGUUAAACGCUAAACAUAUAGAAGCAGCUUCAGUCCGCUCUGACAGCUCUCAUCAGCCUGCUGUGCUCCUCUAACACACAGACACACACGCACGCGCGCGCGCACACACACACACACGUGGAGUUUUGUGCUUGACGAAAACAAAACUGGUUUAAAGCCGAAAUAUUCCCACACUUGGGCUGUUGCGUUCGGUUUAGACACCAAAGCUGUCGUGUUCACUCUGUUUGCUUGCUUUUCACUCACGACGCUCACUUGCAGCACUGUAUCCAAAAAGUCUGUGUCUGUGUGCCUGUGCGCGCGCCAGCCCCCUCGUGACAAAGACACUGAAUGACUGACAGGAGGGUUCACUAACUCCGUUCAUUCCGCUAUAGAACCAACGCCCCCAGGUGCCGAGAACAAUGCGCAGAGUGAGACCUCUUCUCUCAUCCAGCGUGUUUGGUAGCGAGAGAGGAGGAAAACAAACGCACGUCAAUUAUCGAGGCUGGCAAAGUUAUCGACCUCGUUUUUAUUUAUCGAGCGAUAAGGCGAUUUAUUGAUUAUCGCGACAGGCCUAGUGUUCAUUCAAAUGGUCUCACACAGACAUUUGUCGUUUAUUGUUUUUAGCUCAUCUUUUGAUUUGAUCCGACAUUUCUUAUUGCUUUUAAGUAUUUUAUUAUCACCUGCAUUAUUUCAGUCUUUUAUUAGUUACCUUUUCUGUCUUUUUUAUGUAUUUAUUAUUUUCUAUUUAUAUAUGAAGCACAAAUAAUGCACCACUUCCCCUUCUUUACACUUCAAGUUUGUUUUUCAAACUUUUAUUUUGCAGUUUUUAGAGAUGAAAUGAGCUUCCUGUGCAUUUUCACAUCUGGUUAAUUUGUUGGUGAUGUGAUUUAAAGCAUCAAUGAUUAAUUGAAGAGAUGAACAGAUGAAGCCAAAUGCAGAUUAUAUUGCAAAAUAAUUUCUUGCAAAGUGGGGAACGUAACCUCCGUCGCCAAAAACAUCAGCACUUUGCUACAUAAUAAGUUAAAAAGCAGGACUUUUGACCGUCUUUGACUAAAAACAACUCCAUUUACUCUGAAGUAGCAGAGGUCAGCACAAACUGACUUUAGGGCAAGUCCUGUGAGCUUAAAACCACAAUCCAGUGUUGAAGUCGGUGUCAAAAUGAGCAGGAUAAAAGCUAUUUAACUAAUCAAGUGACACAUAAUGACACUGUGAGGUGUUCAAGGUCGAGACGGUGAAACGAGAAGCGGCCCGCAUCCCUACUCGUUAAGCCAAAUUGGGUUUCUGUUCGCUUUUAAAUUUCCCAUCUUUGUCCCUUUUCAUGUUAACUAUCACAGCCUUGCACUGUCAUGCACAUGGUUCUCCACAGAGGUAUAUUUACCAGGACACCCUGCUGUUUUGGAAUAAUGCUGUAAUUAUUGGUGUUUUGUGCUCCCUAAUGAAAGGCUGUUAGAUAUAGUCUUUAACAAGACCACACAACAGCAUCGGGACCAUUCAUCACUCAUUCGGUUUCAUUGACUCGCCGUUGAAAUUAGCAUGAUACUCCGGCUCGUAAACAUCUGUGUUCAUUGUGCGGGCACUGCUCCGAAAACACUUUGACUAGCAAGAGCAAAACAGCACAUCUAUAUACAAGACCACAAAAGGAAAAAUGGCUUACAAGCAGGUGAGAACAGAGAUUAUGGGUCACAAUCGAGGAUCCUAGCAGGCAAUUAAAAGCAGGAGUAUUCAAAGCAUGUCUCCUGAUGUUGUCUGCGGGAAAUGAAAUGUGGGGAAGAGCAUGCACACAGUGGCUUUUGUGUUAUAAACAAAGUGAUAAUACCCUGGAUGUGCUUCACCUGCAUUUAAUGUCUGUGCAGGCAGCCAGAUAUGCUAAUGUGACACGUAUGUGAGGAGUGUGAACAAUUGCUCAACCAAGCCCUGCUCCCUUGGGGAGAGCGUGCUGCUGAGUGGUGUUCGACUUCCUGUUUUUUUUUUUUUUUUCCUGGAAACAGUUCUGCAGCCGGGGCGCAGCGAGCAUUCUGGAGUGGUGGGUAAUUAAAUGCAAAAACGGGAUUAGCGGAGUGCACUCUGUUCCCUGUUUCCAUGUGAUUCCGACAACAAGAUAGGGGCCCGCUAAAGCCAGGGAUAAAGAGAACCUCUGAGGAGCAAUGCAGCAUAGAUUACAUAAGAUUAGGGUGCACACAAUUUUGCAAAAACUCAUCGCCCACUUCUUCUUAUUUGAUUGAUUCUUCAAGCUUUUUGCGACUGUAUCUUGCAAAUGGUAUUGAUUGAGCAAAUUCAACAGCGGUCGGAGAGUUUUGUGCUUAUGCUGCACUCUCACAGCUGAUUUCCCCUUUUGUUUUUGUUCUUUUUCUCUCACACUCAGCCUCAAAUAACCUUCCGGUUCUGCAGACGAGGACGAGAGUUAUUUUAAAUUAGCAUGAAAUUCCUUUAUUACUAAAACCUACGUCUGUUAGCACUUCAAAGACAAAGGAGGGCGUUUGAGUUCCAGAGGAAGCGUGUAGUAGAUGUGGCCGAUAAAAGCUUCGUCUUCGGCUUUUUUCAAGAAGGUUAUCAACUCAAAUGAGGUAGCCUCGAACUUCUUUUCUUGAUUAGAUCUGAAUGUAAUUGACACAGUUUCAGAUUGUGGAGCUCUAAUCUUUUUAAUGUAGGAAUAAAGCGUGAUGGGUUUAGCAAGUAUACUACAAAAUAAAGAGGUAAAAUUCAGCCUCACUGCAGAUGGAGAAUUUAGAUUCAAGUGCAUCAGGAGGGUUUUUUAAACAGCACACAUGUUGAUUAUAACUAUACACUGUCAAAGCUGGUUCCGGGUGCCAGGGCUACAGACCUUUCUCCUUAACUCAUAUCAUCUGUGGUGUUCCCCAAGGAUCAAUUUUGGGCCCACUUUUAUUUUCUAUUCUUGUGCUCCUGCUUGGUAACAACAUUCAUCCUACAGGGCUCGACAGUGCGACCGUUUCACUUGCAUUUGAGACUAAAAAUAGAUGUGUGUUAUUUAUAUUAUAAUAUUAUAUAUUUUUCAUGUAAAUCCUGCGGUGAAGUUAGUUUUAGGUUGGAUAUUUGACAGACAUUCACUGCAGAUGUACCGGUGUCUUCUCACCUUCCAUAACUAGGAAUAGCAAGAGCAGCACGCCUUAAUCGCUGUUAACAUUGGGUGUUGAAUAAGGGACCAUCAAUAUAUUACUGGUUGAUGUUCUCAGAAAAGGCUGUUUUCCUUCAAUAGCUUCCACGUCAUGUGACCAAUUUACCUAAAAUUGAUUUAAAAUAAUAGUACUAAGGUCGGACAAUGAGACACACUUCUUUAUUUCCCUAAUUUGUCCUCUAAAAAUUUCUGUGUUAAAUUUUGAACAUUUUCUUCAAUAGCUUCCAAUUCAUGUAAUCAAAAGUCCUAAAAUUGAUUUCAAAUAAUAGUACUUAUGUCGACCAAUAAGACAUACAUUAUUUGAUCAAUUUUCAUUGUACCACUAAAGUUCUUUGUGUGCUCCUUACUUUUUCAACUUCGGAGCACAUGUGCUCCUUAUGAAGAAAGUUAGUGUCAAGCCCCGUCCGAACAAUUCAACCUUUAUUCGCUAUGCUAAAUACCUGUUUCUGAGACCUGGUGAUCAAAGAUGUCUCUGGCUGUACACAGGAAAAAAUAGUGAUUAAGCACUGAUGGUUAGUCUCAAGUCCAAUAUUUCUGUUGUUUUGGUCCCCUGAUUUCUAAUUCAGAGCCGAGCACCCAGUCUGGCAGAAAAUGUCCAAGCUCGCCUGCAGAUGCAAUGAUAUGAAAAGAGCUCUCGCUGGCUUCAUCCAUAGGCGAAAAGCACACCGUCUCCUGCAGGCCUUUUUCACAAAGCUGAAGGUUGAUGACUGAUAUUUGACCUUCGAGGUGAAAAAGGAGCCGGUACAAGAGAUUAAUGGCUCUGAAAGGUGGAUUUCCUCCUUUCAGUCGUGUGAAGUAUUGUGCGGGCACUGGGGUUUGAAGUCAUCAAAGCAUAUAAUCAGUAGUCAAAAUCCACGCUGGCUGUAAUAGCCUUUGCCUGCUGGUUGAUUGAAUUUGAAUGUACCAUAAUGACUGCGUUAGGGAAGCCUUUUACAGUGUCUAAUCACCUCAGAUAAUUGAGACUGGAGUCAUUUAAUGUACAGAGAGAUAGUUUCCCCCAUUGCCUCUGAGAUGUUAGACAGAAGACUUCCUAAAAAGUGAGAAGAACUACUCCACCUGUGGCUGUUUACACUGCAAAACUGGUGUUCCUCACCUCCUCUUUUGGCCCUUUUUUCAUCCUUUCCUGCCGUUUGCGAAGAUUAUCGUUGUUAAAGCACAUGUACUGUACACAUGUAUGCCAAAGAAGAGCUUCAAAGGUAUAUCAAAGGAUAGUGACUUUCAUACUGUAAUUUCCAUGUGGUAUUUAAAAUGUGCAUUCACUCCUGCUUAUCAUCCAGCAGCAGGUAUCUUCAUGUUUCAUGUCGUGAUGGCUGAGUGUAUUCGAGAGCGUGUCUGCAUCAAAGAGACAAAGAGUUCUCUCUUCUAUAUAACGUGAGCCCGCCUGCCUGCAUCUCUGUGCAUAUUCAUUUACAGCUCAGCUCUCAGGUGACAUAACACAUAUGUCCUCAAGUUCAAAAUGUCCUCUCGGACCCGCAGGACGUCCUCACCUCCCAGGCAGCGGUGACAGUGAACAGCUGACGGUGUUUCUAAACUCGGCCGUCUCAAAAUGUUCCAGUUUCGUUCUGUUUUUAAAAGCAUGUGCAUUUUUGAGCGUACUUCCCGAGUCUAUAAUUUCAUAAAGGAUAAACAAAAUAGGCCACAAUGAAUAAUGAAAUCCUCUGCGCUCUCAUGCCUUCCUAAAUCUGAGGCUGCAGAAAGAACCCACUUACCUGUCCUGCUGUGUUUGUUCUUUUUAUAAUAAUAGUGUUUAUCACAUUAUGCUACAUUAUGAUGUAACUUCUACACUUUUCCACCAGGUAUUUCGUUCUGUGCAUGCUGAUGGAAUGAACAGUGACAGUGUGCUAAUAACAGAUCUGGGCAGUGUUUCCCACAAGCUUUUUAAGUCUUGGAUAAUCUUAUCCCCCAGCCUUACUCAGGGAAUAAGAUUAUCAUGGCCUGCAGAUGGUUCCGAACCACACAGGUGGCACGGCUUAAGGACUGUGUUGGCACAGCGCUCGGUCCCAGACUUCCAAAUUUCUAUAUGUUUCCCUAUACUGUAUUGAUUUUACUUUAAUUUUACUGCCAUUUGUUUUAUUAAAGAUAGUCAUGGUUGCCUGAGGAUGGAUCUGAAAAUAGUAAGGAAUGCUUGGAUAUGCCUAAACCGCAUCAGCAGUUCCUUUGGUUGCAUGAAACAGUUGCAACAGAGUUUAGUUCAAACGGUCGUGAUCCCCAGAUGAUAAGAUUAAUUGUAGACAUUCAUGGUUGCCUUAGGAUGAAUUCAAAAAUUCUGAGAAAUGCAUAGGCACGCAGACAAAAUACGUCCAGGCUGCAUUAAACAACAGCAGUAAAAAGAGAUGUUCAGAUGUUCAUGGUCCCCAGAGGUUAACCCCUUCACAAGGUAGAUACAAAGGAUUAUCCACUAACUAGUAUUCACUGCUCCGGCUGCACCCAUAACUGUUUGUUGUUUUUGGUGACAAAGACGAGUGCAAAGACAAAUCUUCUAGGUUUGUUAUAGUCACCUGAUGAUUCUCUAACUUUUCCUUAAUGCCCAUUUUUACUAAGAAUUUGUUCCCCAGAUGAUGAACCUAAAAGACUAAGAUGAUCCCUGAGCUUUUCUUUCAGCACAUCUAAAGAAUUUAAGUUUGCUGUUUUCUGAUAUUAAUAUUUCAGUAACAAGUUUUGGCUGAGACAUCUGCGUUCCUCAGAGGAUGAUCCCUUAGCUAUUUUAAUUUUAGGUGAACAUUUGUAGUUAAAGUGACAAAGAAUUUAGCACUAGAAAAAGGUCUUUGUUUCAAGGUUACCAGAAAAUGAACAUGACUUUGACGGCUUUCUGACUUCUGCGGUGCAUAUUCAUGAUCCCCAGUGGUUGAUAAUACCACGACUUUUCCUGUAGCUUCUCCAGCCAAUUGAUGAAGAACUUAAUGAAUUAUACACCAUUUAAUAUGUGAAAAAUAUUCAUGUGCCCUUCAGGAUGUGCUGUAAUGUCUUCUUUGACCCCUGAACUCUUCGUCUAAUGUUAUCAACAUGAUUUAAUUCGUCUAAUAGUUCAGAUUCAGACUAAAUCUUAAGAAACACCUUCUUAUGAGCCUUAGCUGUGCCUUCUAGACAUCAUUACAAUUAAACAUGUUAAAUAUAAGCGUAUUAUCAAGCACCUCUGUGUUAAAGCACAGCCACACCACACCACCGGCGUGGCUGCGGGUUUGUUUGUUUGUAAUUUCGAAGUGCUGUUUCCAUCAAGUGUUUAUGAGUUCACUUACUCUCACACUGUCUCCCGGUCCCUGAGGAUCUCUGCUCAAAUUUGAAUUCUGAGAAAGUGAAUCAUGGCACUGGAGGCAAACAAUUACUGUACAUCCUGAGCCUCUCUGUGGGAACUGGAAAAGAUUUGACAAAGAAACCCGAACCCCUGUGCGCCAAGGUCAAUCUAAAGCGGGCCGAGCUGUACUUUCUGCAGGGCGACACCACAGUGCUUUUUCCAAUAAAAAGCUUGAAUUAAAAACCCAUUCAGGCAGCCACAAUUGCAUCCUCCCACGUUAUCAGCUGCCUGAUGUGAUGAGUGACCCUGUGGUCAUCACCCGGUCCACAGAGACCAUCGAUCCUGCCGUCGCGGUGGUCGGCAGAGGGAAGGCUGUGUUUCGCCUGCUGCCGCCGUGUUUAUUGCCAUUACAUCCCUCAGAGGAGAGCUUUAAUGAGCUAUGAGGACAAUAAAGUCAUGACACAUCCGCACACAAACAUUGACUACCAGGGGCUGGUGAUCAUACUAUGAGUCACCAGAGAGAAGAAAUCCUUUGCAGUCAGCGAGUAAUGAAGCUGUGGCAGAGAUCGAGUCGAGAGGCAGGAAAGGCUAACUAUAAGUCUCCAGAAUCCAGAGAGUCAGUGGCCCAAUGAGCUCGGUCUCUUCCUCUGAAUGGAGGGGUUAGGAAAGGGGAGGAAGAGGAGGAGGAGGAGGGGGCUGGAUUUACAGCUGAGCCUCUCAGCUCUGUUUUUAGUUAAGGGGGAAAUCUGUUUGAUCAGUAAAUCAGCCGUCACCAAUAUGAAGAGGAAGUGAAACAGACGUUUUCAAGAGUCGUUUCUAAUCAAUACAGAAUUUUACAUUCACUACAAGAUGAGAUAAAUAUGAUAUAAUUAGAGAUUAUUGUGAUAUUAUGGUUUUUCAUGGAAACAGGUAUAUUUUUUUCAGUUUCUUUCACUUAUUCACAGUUUUGAUCUCUUGAGCAAUAAGCAACCAAAUUUCAAAAUAACAGAAAAUAUUUUCAUUUAAAAUAAGCUGUUAUAAAUAAUUAGUGCUCCAUUUUGGUCACAGUAUUAUUGGACAAUCUGUAAUUCAUCUGUAAUAUUGAAAAGCACAACUUGAACAAACCUUUGCAGUUUACAUUAAAUAUAUAUAUAUAUAUAUUUAAAUUUUUUUUGACUCAUUGAAUUGUUUUACUUUUUGUCAUUUUUGUCUCUUUUGUGUGAUGUGGGAAAUGUUGAAAAAUUUUAUUAAUUAUAAUUUUAGAUAGUCACAUGCUUACAGGUCUUUUGUUUCCAACAACAAGCAAAAGUAAAAAAAGAAAAAAAAACCCGACUUUUUAUUUCUUCAAUUAAGAAAUAAAAAAAGAUGCCCCUCUUUUUAUUUUUGGGGUCUUUUUUUUCCCUUUCUCAUUAAUUGAAUCAUGUAAUCAAUACAUUUUUUCGUUUUUAAUGGAAAAAACAUCUUGUGAUCUUUUAUUUGUUUUUCCUUUUUGUUUUCAUAUAGUAAAAAUAUAUUUUUUGAGGUUUUUCUUUUCCCUCUCUGCUUUUAUGAGUUGAAUAUAGAAUCAGUGUAUCUCUAUUUUUCUCAAAACAGUUGAAAAGAAACUCAGGGUUUCUGUUUAAAACAAACAAACAAAAAAACCCUUGACAUAUUUACUUUUCUUUUUUUGGUUUGUCUUGAUUAUUUUUUCCUUGGGUUGAAUAUUUAAAAAGUCCGUCAGUUAGUUUUUAUCACCCUGAUAAAAAUUUAAGUGUUUUUUGUUUUUUUUUGCUCUUCAAAAGUAAAUUUUUAAAGAAUAUAAAAAUAAAUCUGGGACUUUUUUGUAUUUUCUGUUUCAUGGUCAAAACAAAAACAAACUGAAAAUACUUUUUGUGUUUUUGCUUGUUCUUAUAAUUUCUUAUUUGUUAUUCCCUCUACAUAGCAGAAAAAUCGGGAUAUUUCAAAACAGAAGAGAUCUGCUCCGAAACAUCAAAACAUCACAAAAAAAGCCCAUUUUGAUUUGAUUUUUUAUUCUGUUUUGUCACUUCUUUGACUCAUAUGGUAAGAGGAUUUAAAGUUUUGUUUUGGCAUCACACAUGAAUAACAGAUUGUCUAAUGAUAAUCACAUUGUGUUUGCGAGACUCAUGACUAAAUAACAAAACUUCGAACACAUUAAUCAGACAGGUUUGGUGGCAGUGCCGCAUAAAAACAGCAGGUGAAACUGAAAUGAUUUCAAUGUUUGUUCAGGCUGAAACGAGAUCCCAGCGACAGAAAGUUUAAAAAAGGAAAGGCAAAGAGAAAUGUUGGUAUAUGACGCUCUGUUUUCACACAAACUUUCUCUCCUUAAAGUAAAGUUGUUUCUGAAGUGCUGGAAUGCACCUGUUUCCACUGUUAUCAAAUAUUCUGCAUAUUGAUAUUGGAGAUUGCACCUUGGCAGCUGGUAGGAUUAACAAUUUGUUUGAAAUGCUUCUCCAGACAUGUUUCGAGUAAAAAAUAAUAAACUCAGCUGUGAGUCCAAAUGUUGUGAUUUCGAGCGUUAACUUCCAGCGAAGAAAGUUUUCUGGGAGGAAAAAAAUAACAUAAAUUGCUUCCUAUUCCCUCCUGUGUGGCAGAAUUACAAAUUUAUGAGUAUUUAAGUCGUGUAUGCGGCCCAAACUUGACGUCAGGUAAAAGAGGGUGAAGGUCUUAAAAUAGGAAAACAUCAGAGAGGAGAACUUGACGACUUGAUUGGCUGAGCUUUAGCAUCCUUUUAAUAGAGAGCUUCAAAGAUAACUCCUGAUUGGUCGGCUGAACUGAUAAAGUCUGGGGUUAGAAUAAUAAGCAGGAGGUAUUUCCAAUGAAUUCCUGAGUCUAAUAUCUCAUCGCACUGAAAAUAAGCCAUCCUUUAAAGACUUUACAAGCCUAAAAAAUUAGACAAUUGACUUCUUUUCAACAUCCAGUAGAAAUGGGUAAACCGUUAAUGCAGAGCAGCCAUCCGUGUACGCAGAGGUCAGACGACAUGACCGUUGACAGAUUUUAGCCUGAUCCGACAGUCUGACAGUGCUUGGAUCCAUCUGUCCUGGCAGUUGAUCAUUUUGGCUCAUGUGGAGUGUCAUGAUGACCAACAUUCAAGACAACAUCUCAGACACCUUAUGACCUCCCAACAGUCUAGAAAAAUCCCUGAAGGCUAGCAUGCUUGGUUUUCUCUCUGCCUGCUAUGACCUGUUCCCUCAUGCCAGUGAUGUUAACCAAUGAGAGCACAGAGACGGAUCACUGUUGUCUUAGAAACUAAAUGCAACGAUCCUAAACCUAAGAACCUAAGAAUCCUAAUUAAAGAAGUCACUGUGGUUUUAUUCCAGGAGAACCAAGGUGAUGCCGACCUCCAACCCUUGCUGAUUCCCGUUGUCACCUACCACAAUGAUAUGGUUUCUCUGUUUUCAAUUCACACCACAGAUUAAUCAUCCCAGAUUUUCCUCGGAUACUCUCUGAUGCGUGUUUUACUGUUGUUGCUUGAUGCACAACACUAAAACCAAUUACAGCUCUCCGACAAAGACAAAUAAUCAAACACAUCAGAGCUUUGGCGUGAAACUAACCUGAGGGAUGGUAACAAGAGAGGGCCGCAGUAUUCAUUUUAACUGCACAGCUUCACGUCAUGACAGCUAAUGGCUGGGAAUAUUACCCUGCACUCGCCUAUAAGCAGUUUAAUAAUACAUGGGAUGGUUGCAUUGGAUAUGGUGUAGCUAAAUGAGAGAAAUGCUCCAGCGUUCAUCAUGUGUAAUUUCAGACCGCUCGGUGCUUUGAGUGCAGCCUGGUUACAGCCUGGGCUGCAGUAAAAUGUAUCAUUAGGAAGCCAUCAGCACGGCGAUGUUUAAACUGCGGGCCGAUUGUUGGAGCUGCAGACAGAUGCAGCCGCGGAGGCUAAUAUGAGAGGAAACAGGUGUCUCAUUCAAAUGACUGAAACAUGAAAUUCAGGUUGAUUGCAUAUUUCAAAAAACCGAGGCAGAAACAGAGAAAGCGGGGAUGUUGAUUUACACUCACUACUUCUCAUUAUUGCACACUUGAGCGCUGUAAAAGCUUAUUAGGGCGGAUAGACAUCCCUGCCUUUAUAAUUAACCAAUUAAAUAUGAAUGAAAAACUGAUGUGUCCUGUUUUCUCAGCUUUGCUUCAGUCCUUCAUACGAAUAAUCAAAUAUUCAAUUCUCAUGUGAGCCAUAUGUGCGACUUAGCAAAUUACAAAACCAUGAAAAAGUUCAAUAUUUCCGGACAGAUAUUCAAGAAAAUUCACUAUCUAGACUGAAUAAAUGCUGUGUGAAAUUAAAGUAUUGAGGUAUUAAUAAUUUGAUGUAAAUAUGCUUCUGGAAUUUUAGUUUUCUUUAGGGACCCUUCCCAAAAGGAUAAAUUAAGUCAUAUCUUAUCUAAUCUAUUGAGUGUUUGAAAUACAAUGUGUUGACUGUAGUGAAAAAAAGGACAAGUUCUGAGAUGAUUUACCACAAUUAUGCUCCGUAAUGAUGCAAUCACUGCUCGGCGUAAAGAGUGUUAAUGUUCAAUUUUCGACUCAUUCAGACGUGAUAAAUAAGAAUCAAGAGCUCAAUUAGACGUUUUCACCUUUGUUGUGAAAGACUUCUUUUCUUGUUUCUCCUUCCUCUUGUUGUGUCUUGUCGGAGUCUUGUUAGCUGAUGUGUUGACUAAUCCAAUUUAAGUGAUUUUUUUUUUUGUUUAAUGUGUAAUUAAAAAGAUGAAAACCUCCACCUAUCUCAGACUAUGUUUCCUUUGAAACUCCGGCUAAAAAAAGACUGUGUUAUUUCAGGCUGAGAAAUGAAAUGACAUUUCUGCUCCAUUCUUCAAACAGGGCUGUGUGUCCCUUGAUUCCACUGACUGUAAGUCUCUGAAAAUCCACUGUGACAGGCGUCUUCUCCACAGGUUUUCGGCUGACAAACGCCACUGCGGCUCUUCUCCUGACAUUUCCGAGCUGUCGUGGGGUAUUUCUUUGAUCCGACGCUGUCUGCACAACACCAUCCCCGGUGUUAACAUCACUACUAUUGGAACACCUCCGGUUAACAGGGAUACAAAGUAAGCUCAAACAUGCACAAAAUUUCCUCACCUCAAAAUGAUUUGGGCAUAACUACCAACAAGGACACGAUUGAAAGCGAGCCGCAGGAGCGGUGGUCGGCAGAUUAUAAAACUCAAACUGCUGAGAGUCAAGUAUCUGUGCUGCACUGGCCCGCCGUGCUGCAAAGACUUUAACUCUGGGAUGCUCUCUUUGUGUGACAACAGGGACUCCAAAACCUAUCAAACCAAACAGAUAGUUAUUGUUGCUAAAGAUAACAACUGUAGUUUGCACCUGAACUUCUUCAAACUAAUAUUUCCUCCUGCUUUUGUGCAUUUGAAAGGCACAAACCUGCAGAGAGGAUAAUAGCAAAAGUCAGUCUACUGCAGUCAGAGCUGAUUCUAGAGUGUGCUGGGGCCCCAAGCAAAAAUUCUCAAAGAGCCCCUCUGACAAAAAUUAAACUUCCGAAAAGGUCUGAAACAGAAACUUCUCAAAAACAAUGAUCAUUUUUACUACUAAACUUGAAAAUUUUGCUCUAGAACAGUUACAGCUCUGAUAUGUUUUUACCACAAUAGCCAGCACCCUGAUAAGUAGCUCCACUUCACGGCUGAUUUAGACGUUACUUUGAUCGACACACUUCAGUAAAGAUGAACGUUUCAGUGCAACAGGGAUGACAUGGUGCUCCUUUUGGAGGAUAUCUGUCUAAGAUGUCAUUGCACUUUGACCCCAGGUUGUUCAGCGGGGUUGCUAUAAGUUAGGACAUUUUUGUGGACUAAGGUUCGUCAGCCCUUGGGGGCCCCCUAGUGGCCUGGGGCCUCAAUCAACUGCCCGCCUUGCCUUUUGACAAGCUCCUGCUCUGUCUCCAGUCAGCCUUGUUUGACAGCAUGACUUAUGGGAUGUGUGCGCAAGACUUGAAUCUGCACUUCCAUGACCUUGCACUAAAACUGAGUCAGUCUGCAUUAGGCUCUUUCACUGCUUUAACUGAUAAAUAUGUUGUUAUUCAGUUGUUUGUGUAUUUUGUCCUGUGUGCAUAAAUGGAUAUUGUUUAGUCUCUUAAUAUCUGUGAGUUCUGGUCAAUAAGCAAUAAUUUAGCCAUCUCCCUGAUUUUUUAGGGCUCUUUAUCUUCCAUCUGCUGAUAAGCUUUACAGCUUUAUUCUCUUUUCUAAAAGGGACUUGACACCUGCCCACAGUGCCAAAACUCAAACAUAACUGUGCUUCAUUCACAAGCCAACUUGGCAAACCUGAACUCAGUAGAGAAUUUGUGGGUUAUUUGUCUUGGAGAGGAUGAAAAUCAACACGCCCCUCGGCGCUAAUGUGGGCGAAACUUGGUUUGCUUUUUGCACAGUGGGAUAAAACUGACAAUUGCCUUGGGUGCACUUGCCCAGCAUGCCAAAAGACUUCCUGGCAGGUGUACAAUAGGGCCCCGUAUCUCUCAUGUAACAUACUUCAGUACAUCCAG